rnacentral:snRNA from 1 species
AAAUUUUCUUAUCAUUUGAAAUUUGGUCGUGUCGCGUUAAUAUCGUGAUAUGUGAAUCUGAUUUUUUGAUUUCAUUAACUAAUUGAGAUCCAAC